rnacentral:rRNA from 1 species
UUAUCCGGAUUUACUGGGUGUAAAGGGCGUGCAGCCGGGAAUGCAAGUCAGAUGUGAAAUCCAUGGGCUUAACCCAUGAACUGCAUUUGAAACUGUAUUUCUUGAGUACUGGAGAGGCAAUCGGAAUUCCUAGUGUAGCGGUGAAAUGCGUAGAUAUUAGGAGGAACACCAGUGGCGAAGGCGGAUUGCUGGACAGCAACUGACGGUGAGGCGCGAAAGUGUGGGGAGCAAACAGGAUUAAAUACCCUGGUAGUCCACACUGUAAACGAUGAAUACUAGGUGUGCGGGGACUGACCCCCUGCGUGCCGCAGUUAACACAAUAAGUAUUCCACCUGGGGAGUACGAUCGCAAGGUUGAAACUCAAAGGAAUUGACGGGGGCCCGCACAAGCGGUGGAUUAUGUGGUUUAAUUCGAAGCAACGCGAAGAC